CUCUGCCAAGGCGCCUAUGAGAGCCUCUUGGCUUUUACCUGGUCUGCGAGAAAUCAAACUUUGGACACAAGUCAUGAAGCCGACAAGCCCGGGAGACACAGUGUCAGAAUUACAAGGUGAGAUCAGCCGCCCGGCCAAGCUAUCUUCUCGCUAGCAGGUCCCGCAUCUGGGGCUCGAUCUCGUGCAGAGGAGCAUUUCCGAAGACACUGGCCGCUCCCACAAUGGCUCCGAAGACCCCAGCGACCAGCGAGUUCAUGAGUUUGUUGGGGUUGUCCGCUCGGUACCAGCUGCGCAGGGAUGUCAGGACAAAGAAACAAGUUGCCUGGUUCCAGCCCUCCUUCAGCGCGGGGCCUGUGGGACCCCGGUAAGUCCCGGUGUUCCCGCACAAUCUCCUAACCCUGUGGAAGAAUCCCCUGUACUUGGAUUUGGAGAGGUCUGACCAUGGAUUAACUUCACCUUGAUGGUCUCCAUGGGCCAUAGGACCACCACGGCCUCGGCCACGCUAGCUCACUGGCCGCACCGCUGCCCGCCUUGCUGUUCACCAGUCCCUGGGCAUCCCGCAUGUGGUUGCUGAGGAAGGCCUGACGCCGCCUUGUGGAUGAAGCCGCAGAGCAGGGAGCUGAGGCUGCGGCCCAGGCCCAGGCUGCCUUGGCUGCGACUGUGUGCCUGCAGGCCCCAUGCCCGGUAUCCGGUGGAUGCGAGUGCUAGUCCAGCUGCAGCUGCAUCUUCACGAACUCGGUGGGGAACGGGAUGCAGAUUUUUUUUUUCUUUUCCUUCCUUCCUUCCUUCCUUCCUUCCUUCCUUCCAACUUCCUUCCUUCCUUCCCCUUUCUUUCUUUUUUUUUUUUUUUUUUUUUUUUUGACAGAAUUUUGCUCUUGUCCCCCAGGCUGGAGUGCAGUGGCGCGAUCUUGGCUCACUACAACCUGGAUUCAAGCGAUUCUCCUGCCUCAGCCUCCCGAGUAGCUGGGAUUACAGGCAUGUGCCACCACUCCCGGCUAAUUUUUUUGUCUUUUUAGUAGAGACGGUGUUUCCCCAUGUUGGUCAGGCUGGUCUCAAACGCCUGACUCAGAUGAUCCGCCCGCCUCGGCCACCCAAAGUGCUGAGAUUACAGGCAUGAACCACCGCGCCCGGCCCUGUGAUGUAGAUUUUGAUGCUGCCAGCCAGGCUGCCUGCCGGGAUCGCCUGCCCUGGAGCAGGAGCAUCAGCCGGGCGUUCCAGGACGCAGGCAUGGCAUGACCGGCAGGAGGCGGAGUGCCCGGCGUCUCUUGGGAUCGGAGCCUCCUGAACUCCACGCUGGGACCUUAAUUUGGUUUUAACACAAAUAAAGAUCUCACAUAAAGAUAAAA
rnacentral:lncRNA from 1 species